rnacentral:misc_RNA from 1 species
GAUGAAUAACGUAGCGAAAUGCGAUAAGUAAUGUGAAUUGCAGAAUUCAGUGAAUCAUCGAAUCUUUGAACGCACAUUGCGCCCGCCAGUAUUCUGGCGGGCAUGCCUGUUCGAGCGUCAUUUCAACCCUCAAGCCCAGCUUGGUGUUGGGGAUCGGCACAGGCGCCCUCGGGCGCCCGCCGUCCCCUAAAUCUAGUGGCGGUCCCGCUGCAGCCUCCUCUGCGUAGUAGUUUUCUCCUCGCAAGGGCAGCUCGGUGGCGACCUCGCCGUAAAACCCCCAACUUCUGAAAGGUUGACCUCGAAUCAGGUAGGAAUACCCGCUGAACUUAAGCAUAUCAAUAAGCGGAGGA